rnacentral:rRNA from 1 species
UACGAAGGGGGCGAGCGUUGUUCGGAAUCACUGGGCGUAAAGGGCGCGUAGGCGGCCCUCCUUGUCGCGUGUGAAAGCCCCGGGCUCAACCUGGGAACGGCGCGCGAGACGGGGGGGCUGGAGUUCGGGAGAGGAUCGCGGAAUUCCCGGUGUAGAGGUGAAAUUCGUAGAUAUCGGGAGGAACACCGGUGGCGAAGGCGGCGAUCUGGGUAGAUACUGACGCUGAGGUGCGAAAGCGUGGGGAGCAAACAGGG